rnacentral:rRNA from 1 species
UACGGAGGGUGCAAGCGUUAUCCGGAUUCACUGGGUUUAAAGGGUGCGUAGGAGGGCAGGUAAGUCAGUGGUGAAAUCUCCAAGCCUAACUUGGAAACUGCCGUUGAUACUAUCUGUCUUGAAUAUUGUGGAGGUGAGCGGAAUAUGUCAUGUAGCGGUGAAAUGCUUAGAUAUGACAUAGAACACCAAUUGCGAAGGCAGCUCACUACUCAAUCAUUGACUCUGAGGCACGAAGGCGUGGGGAUCAAACAGG